UGCCUUGGAAGUGGGCAGAUUGGUCUUCUUCCUGUUCAAGGAAAUCCCCAGGCACACAGGUGUCCAUGUUAGCCAUGGAAGAUGACCUUUCAGUCCUGCUGCCAUCAGCUCUGAUGGGUCACUGGCUACUUCUACUGCCAGUGUCAAAAUGAAACAUAGCAUUCCUGUUUGGGGGUAAGAAAUCCAAGAAAGAAAGUAAGGACCAAGUAUUUCAAUGUUUUGAAGAGAAGUACAAUUCUUGCAACAUGACUAGAGGCAAAGAAGAGCAGUGAUGAGACCCUGGGAGUGAAAGUCUGAGAAGAAACAAAUCCAGAGAUGAUGUUGUUACUGGAGAGUGGAGAACACAGCUCUACUGCCAGAGAACCACAGGUUUUGUUGUGCCUCAGAGCCAAAAGAGAAAAAUUCCAAAGAUUACACAAAGUCCUCAAGAGAGAGUAACAGUGUUCAGAGCCCAGCUUACAGCAAUUCCAGUGAAAUGAGACCUUUUCUGCCCCUUAUCUCUUCCCAUUGAGCUCUCUCCAACCUCAGAGAGGUAGGGGCAGCCUGGCUGGGGUGGUGUGGGGGUGGGAUUGAAGGCAGCAUCACCACUCAGGAAAUGCAAGAAUCUUACAUAUACAUUUCCCCCUGCAGCCUCUGUCUGUGGCAAAUCUUAGUGAAUGAAGUGCAGGGAUUUGACCACUGCUCUUAACUGGACAUAGAAAUCACUGAACUGUUCCACAGAGACCAAAGAUGUUUUUCAUACCUACAAAUAAGCACAUGAGUCAAAGAACCUAUCUGACAUUCAUUCAGAGUCAGCCU
rnacentral:lncRNA from 1 species